CCAAGGUUCAGUACAGGAUUUUUCUUGUCCGUUUUAAUAACAGUGCGGACAAUGGCAGGUCACACGCUAUCCCCUAGCACUAAAAAACAGUAUUGAAAACUUUAAAUAUCUAUCACUAAGGGAAACUUUGAGGUAAGGAUAAGCAUUUAUUUUCUAACUAAAAUCAACUAGUUCAUUUAGAUGCCUUUAUCAUUUCAGAUGUUUUAUGAUCUCCGUGUGCUUUUUUACAGAACUUUUUCUGAAGUUGCAAUUUAAGACAAAGAUGUCCUCAUUAAUUAUAGGAACUAAAGCCUGCUUUGUUUUUCUGUCAGGUGAAACAUUAUCUUAAUAUCCACUGUGAAGUUUGCAUUUCUUUCUGAGCAGAAUCUUCAAAACUUAAAAGGUGCUGUACAGAAGUAGACAAAUACAUAAAAAAGAGACACGAUGAUUUCAGAGAGCAAGAAUUGGGGUAAAACAACUCUUUAGAUGGUGUAGAUUGUUACUCUGUCCUUUCCAGAAUGAACACAAAACUAGAAUAGAAGCACAAGACAGAGCUGGUCACAGACAUGGGAUAAUAAUGGGAUAAUUAUCCCACAGAUAAUGGGAUAAUAAUAUUAUGUUGUGCAGACUCCAGGAAUGCCACGGGGUCCUGUGGAAAUGCUACAGCAACAUGAGACCAGCACGGCCACUCUACACAUCAGUCUCCCAGGCAUGUGCAUUCGGUGAAAAUACCAAGGAACUGAGAUAUGAAAUCUGUCAAGUCACAUAGUGAGAUCCUAUAGAUCAUUCAACUGCCCAGCCCAAAUCAUCCAAUAAAAUAUGAUGUUUCUCUGA